rnacentral:lncRNA from 1 species
AAAAUGUAUAUAAAUAUAUAUGUGAAUAUGAAUAGAUAUCAAUGUGAAUAUAAACAAAUAUGGAUAUGGAUAUGGAUAUAUGAAUAUGAAUAUGUGUAUAUAAAUAAGUAUAUAAAUAUGAGUAUACAUGAAUAUGUGUUGAUAUGAAUAUGUACAUGCAUAUGAAUAUGAAUUUGUGAAUAUUUCAUUAAUAUGAAUAUGUACAUGAAUGUGAAUGUUAAUGGAUACACAUAUGUUAAUGAAUAUGAUUAGUAUAAGAACAUGAACAAGUGCAUUACAUGAAUAUGAUUAUUUGUAUGAAUAUGAAUACAUACAUGAAUGUGUAUAUAAAUAUGAAUAUGUGUAUUAAUAUGUAUAUGAAUAUGUGUAUGAAUAUAUAGUGAUGUAUCUAUGAUUUAGAUACCAGUGCCUUAACUCUCAUGGGGAAUUGAUCACACUGCCCUCCACUACACGAGGUGAGUAGCUCUCCAUGACCUCAGCACAAUGAGGGCUAUUGGCCCUCAUGGGGGAAGUAGGUCCAGGCAUCCUGUACCCAGUGAGGGGACUAUAUCCCCAUGCCCUCCACCUGGUGAGUGGAUUAAAGUCAUCUAUCCUCAACCUGACCAGUGUUAAUCCCUAUGCCCUCCAUCUGAUGAGAUCCCACUCCAGAAUAUUCCAGUUCAAACCCUAAAAGGAUGAGACUGGGGCAGAUGCUAUAGAUAGAUCUAUAGAUGCCUCUAAACGUAUCCCAGUGCCUUCUGCUCCGUAUGGAGAAUGGAACACUGUGCACCCCUCUAGAUGAAGGCAGUAGAUCUCCACGUUCUCUGACAGUUGAGGGGAGUAGUUCCUCUUUGGGGAAAUUAGGUCUCUGUGUCCUUUGCACCUGGAGAGGUACAGACCCCCAUGCCCUCCUCCUGGUGAGAGGUAUAGAACAAUAAUACUCUACCUGAUCAGGGGAAUUACUCUCUGCAGUCCUUCUGAUGAUUUCCUAUUCCAGUAUUCAAGUUCUAUGUUCAAAGUAUGCAUUGGAGAAGACAUUAAAAUGUAUAGAAAUAUGUAUAUGAAAACAUGUAUGAAGGUGUGUAUGCAUGCAUGCAUACAUAUAAGUAUGUAUAUGAAAAGGAUUUUUAAUAUGUAUAUGAAUAUUAACAUGAAUA